ACCCGGAUGUGGCUAAUAAUAAUAA
rnacentral:sRNA from 1 species